rnacentral:rRNA from 1 species
UGGGGAAGUAAAAGUCGUAACAAGGUUUCCGUAGGUGAACCUGCGGAAGGAUCAUUACAGUAUUCUUUUUGCCAGCGCUUAAUUGCGCGGCGAAAAAACCUUACACACAGUGUUUUUUGUUAUUACAAGAACUUUUGCUUUGGUCUGGACUAGAAAUAGUUUGGGCCAGAGGUUUACUGAACUAAACUUCAAUAUUUAUAUUGAAUUGUUAUUUAUUUAAUUGUCAAUUUGUUGAUUAAAUUCAAAAAAUCUUCAAAACUUUCAACAACGGAUCUCUUGGUUCUCGCAUCGAUGAAGAACGCAGCGAAAUGCGAUAAGUAAUAUGAAUUGCAGAUUUUCGUGAAUCAUCGAAUCUUUGAACGCACAUUGCGCCCUCUGGUAUUCCAGAGGGCAUGCCUGUUUGAGCGUCAUUUCUCUCUCAAACCUUCGGGUUUGGUAUUGAGUGAUACUCUUAGUCGAACUAGGCGUUUGCUUGAAAUGUAUUGGCAUGAGUGGUACUGGAUAGUGCUAUAUGACUUUCAAUGUAUUAGGUUUAUCCAACUCGUUGAAUAGUUUAAUGGUAUAUUUCUCGGUAUUCUAGGCUCGGCCUUACAAUAUAACAAACAAGUUUGACCUCAAAUCAGGUAGGAUUACCCGCUGAACUUAAGCAUAUCAAUAAGCGGAGGAA